UACGAGGGGGGCGAGCGUUGUUCGGAUUUACUGGGCGUAAAGGGCGCGUAGGCGGCCAGCACAAGUCAGUUGUGAAAUCUCCGAGCUUAACUCGGAAAGGUCAACUGAUACUGUGCGGCUAGAGUGCGGAAGGGGCAACUGGAAUUCUUGGUGUAGCGGUGAAAUGCGUAGAUAUCAAGAGGAACACCUGCGGCGAAGGCGGGUUGCUGGGCCGACACUGACGCUGAUGCGCGAAAGCCAGGGGAGCGAACGGG
rnacentral:rRNA from 1 species